CCUGGCUCAGGAUGAACGCUAGCUACAGGCUUAACACAUGCAAGUCGAGGGGCAGCAUCAGAUUAGCUUGCUAAUCUGGAUGGCGACCGGCGCACGGGUGAGUAACGCGUAUCCAACCUUCCCCCUGCUCAGGGAUAGCCCGGUGAAAACCGGAUUAAGACCUGAUAGUUUCACUAGAUGGCAUCUGACGGUGAAUAAAGGUUUCGGCAAGGGAUGGGGAUGCGUCUGAUUAGCUUGUUGGCGGGGUAACGGCCCACCAAGGCGACGAUCAGUAGGGGUUCUGAGAGGAAGGUCCCCCACAUUGGAACUGAGACACGGUCCAAACUCCUACGGGAGGCAGCAGUGAGGAAUAUUGGUCAAUGGGCGGAAGCCUGAACCAGCCAAGUAGCGUGCAGGAAGACGGCCCUAUGGGUUGUAAACUGCUUUUGUGCGGGAAUAAAGUCAGGGACGCGUCCCUGUUUGCAUGUACCGCAAGAAUAAGGACCGGCUAAUUCCGUGCCAGCCGCGGC
rnacentral:rRNA from 1 species